rnacentral:sRNA from 1 species
GGAGGCCUCUGGGUCACCUCCCACCCGUGUUUAUUUACCUUGUUGCUUCGGCGAGCCUGCCUUUUGGCUGCCGGGGGACGUCAGUCCCCGGGUCCGUGCUCGCCGGAGACACCUUAGAACUCUGUCUGAAGAUUGUAGUCUGAGAUUAAAUAUAAAUUAUUUAAAACUUUCAACAACGGAUCUCUUGGUUCCGGCAUCGAUGAAGAACGCAGCGAAAUGCGAUACGUAAUGUGAAUUGCAGAAUUCAGUGAAUCAUCGAGUCUUUGAACGCACAUUGCGCCCUCUGGUAUUCCGGAGGGCAUGCCUGUCCGAGCGUCAUUGCUGCCCUCAAGCACGGCUUGUGUGUUGGGCCCCGUCCUCCUUCCGGGGGACGGGUCCGAAAGGCAGCGGCGGCACCGCGUCCGGUCCUCAAGCGUAUGGGGCUUUGUCACUCGCUUUGUAGGCCUGGCCGGCGCUUGCCGAUCAACCAAACUUUUUAUCAGG